GACGAACGCUGGCGGCGUGCUUAACACAUGCAAGUCGAACGGAAAGGCCCUGCUUGCAGGGUACUCGAGUGGCGAACGGGUGAGUAACACGUGGGUGAUCUGCCCUGCACUUCGGGAUAAGACUGGGAAACUGGGUCUAAUACCGGAUAGGAGCCAUUUUUAGUGUGAGGGUUGGAAAGUUUUUUCGGUGUAGGAUGAGCUCGCGGCCUAUCAGCUUGUUGGUGGGGUAAUGGCCUACCAAGGCGGCGACGGGUAGCCGGCCUGAGAGGGUGGACGGCCACAUUGGGACUGAGAUACGGCCCAGACUCCUACGGGAGGCAGCAGUGGGGAAUAUUGCACAAUGGGCGCAAGCCUGAUGCAGCGACGCCGCGUGGGGGAUGACGGCCUUCGGGUUGUAAACUCCUUUCGCUAGGGACGAAGCUUUUUGUGACGGUACCUAGAGAAGAAGCACCGGCUAACUACGUG
rnacentral:rRNA from 1 species